UAUUUAUUAAAUUUAUAUAUUAUUUAUCUUAUAUUUCUAAAUCCUCAAAGUAUAAAAAAUGCAAGUAUAUUUAUAUAAUAGGUCAAACAUGCUUAAAAAGAAUAAAAAUCUAUUAUUAAUAAUCAGUAAAAAUUAUUUAAUAUUUUAAAUAACUAUAAAUAGUAAUUGAUAUUUUAAAAGUAAUUCUAAGAUGUAAUAAAUUCUUGAUUAUUAUAAUACCUAACAUUUUAAGACAUUCACAAUUAUUUUAGUUCUUUGAUUAUAUUUAUAUGUGCUAUUUAAACUUUUGCAUAAAACUUAAUACAAUUUUUUAAAAAAA
rnacentral:lncRNA from 1 species